rnacentral:rRNA from 1 species
UUUUAUGGAGAGUUUGAUCCUGGCUCAGGAUGAACGCUGGCGGCGUGCCUAAUACAUGCAAGUCGAGCGAACAGACGAGGAGCUUGCUCCUCUGACGUUAGCGGCGGACGGGUGAGUAACACGUGGAUAACCUACCUAUAAGACUGGGAUAACUUCGGGAAACCGGAGCUAAUACCGGAUAAUAUAUUGAACCGCAUGGUUCAAUAGGUCAAGAAGGUUUUGCUGUUACUUAUAGAUGGA